CCUACGGGAGGCAGCAGUGGGGAAUAUUGGACAAUGGGCGAAAGCCUGAUCCAGCCAUGCCGCGUGUGUGAAGAAGGCCUUCGGGUUGUAAAGCACUUUCAGUGGGGAAGAAAGCCUUGGGGCUAAUACCCUCGAGGAAGGACAUCACCCACAGAAGAAGCACCGGCUAACUCCGUGCCAGCAGCCGCGGUAAUACGGAGGGUGCGAGCGUUAAUCGGAAUUACUGGGCGUAAAGCGCGCGUAGGCGGUCUGAUAAGCCGGUUGUGAAAGCCCCGGGCUCAACCUGGGAACGGCAUCCGGAACUGUCAGGCUAGAGUGCAGGAGAGGAAGGUAGAAUUCCCGGUGUAGCAGUGAAAUGCGUAGAGAUCGGGAGGAAUACCAGUGGCGAAGGCGGCCUUCUGGACUGACACUGACGCUGAGGUGCGAAAGCGUGGGUAGCAAACAGGAUUAGAUACCCUUGUAGUC
rnacentral:rRNA from 1 species